UACGUAGGGUGCGAGCGUUGUCCGGAAUUAUUGGGCGUAAAGGGCUCGUAGGCGGUCUGUCGCGUCGGGAGUGAAAACUCAGGGCUUAACCCUGAGCCUGCUUCCGAUACGGGCAGACUAGAGGUAUGCAGGGGAGAACGGAAUUCCUGGUGUAGCGGUGAAAUGCGCAGAUAUCAGGAGGAACACCGGUGGCGAAGGCGGUUCUCUGGGAAUGACCUGACGCUGAGGAGCGAAAGUGUGGGGAGCGAACAGG
rnacentral:rRNA from 1 species